rnacentral:rRNA from 1 species
AGUGAACGCUGGCGGUAGGCCUAACACAUGCAAGUCGAACGGCAGCACAGGAGAGCUUGCUCUCUGGGUGGCGAGUGGCGGACGGGUGAGGAAUACAUCGGAAUCUACUCUGUCGUGGGGGAUAACGUAGGGAAACUUACGCUAAUACCGCAUACGACCUACGGGUGAAAGCAGGGGACCUUCGGGCCUUGCGCGAUUGAAUGAGCCGAUGUCGGAUUAGUUAGUUGGCGGGGUAAAGGCCCACCAAGGCGACGAUCCGUAGCUGGUCUGAGCGGAAGAUCAGCCAGACUGGAACUGAGACACGGUCCAGACUCCUACGGGAGGCAGCAGUGGGGAAUAUUGGACAAUGGGCGCAAGCCUGAUCCAGCCAUACCGCGUGGGUGAAGAAGGCGUUCGGGUUGUAAAGCCCUGUUGUUGGGAAAGAAAUCCAGCUGGCUAAUACCCGGUUGGGAUGACGGUACCCAAAGAAUAAGCACCGGCUAACUUCGUGCCAGCCGCCGCAGUAA